AGGAGUGGCUCCUGCUGCUUUUUGGGGUUUGCUGCCCCUUUCUGCACCCCGGGCUGAGCUGUGCUGGAUGUCAUCCACAGCCACAGAACGGCUGAAAAAAUAAACCCGGCUGCGUGGCCGCUGCUGCCGCUCACCGACGGGACGGACUGAAAUGGGGUGAGAACCCGAAGGCAAAGGGCGCUGCAAAGGGUCCCGCUUGGGUGCGGUGCUCUGCGGGGCGCCGGGCGGCGGCAUCGCUUUGCUGGGAGCCGCUCCCCCCGUGGGGUGAACCCCUUUUACAGGCGGACGUGGGGUCUCCGGAGCCCCGGGGGUAUCUCGGGCCCAUGGAGCGCAACCGGAGCCUCCGGGAGCGCCUUGCGGGGCCGCAGCCGGGCUGCACGCGUGCGCCCACCCUUUUAUCUCCCAGCCGGCUGCGGGGAUCGGCAUCGCCUCUCCGAGCUGCGGGGGUCAGCAUCGCCUCCCCGAGCUGCGGGGCCGUGGGGUUGCGGGGCUGUAAGGCUGCGGGGCCGCGGGACGCGCGGAGGGGACGUCGGGGACGGCUCUGGGGACGCGGCUGAGCCCCGGCCGCCGCUCGCUCCUCGCCAUGCUGGAUAUUUUCAUCCUGAUGUUCUUCGCCAUCAUCGGCCUGGUGAUCCUGUCCUACAUCAUCUACAUGCUGUAGGGGACGCUGCGGGGGAUGCGGCUCAGAGCAGAGCCCGGUGCAGAUCCUUCUGGAACAGCGUUGCCCCCUCCCGGAGCCGAAGGACGGAGCGCGGGGCUGAGGGGAUGAAGGAGCGCGGUGGGGUCCUCCUCACCCCCGCCCUCCCUCCCCACUGUGUGCAUGGGAUGAGCGCUUCGGGAUCGGCCCUUCGGGUUUCAUUUUAGAAAGCACUCCGACUUAUUAUUAUUAUUGGUGCGCGUGUGAAAAAUGCCCAAUGCAAUGAAAUAAAAGGAGGAAUGGCACAGGAGGAGGGCAGGUCUGAUGGCGUCGGUGCUGCUUUGGCCACACCAAAUCUGAGUGCCCGGAGGGAUGCUGCUGUGCUGUGGGGUAUGGGGGGGGGGGGGGGGGGACCAAUGGGACCCUCCCAGGGGAUCCCCGGAGCUCUCUGCACAGACAAGGGAUGUUUUUAAUGCAAUGGGGAUGAUUAUGGGAUGGAAGAACCUUUCUGUGCUUCGUUUCCCCCAGCGUGGAGCGGUCUGGGGAGCUGUUUGGGGCAGAGGGAAGGUUUUUCCUGUUCUAUGAUGGAGCCCUGCAGUAAUCCCUGCCCUAAUGCUGCCAGUGCCACACAUUGCCCCAUGCACAGUGCACGGUCCAUCCCUCUAUAGCUGAGGAUUUGGCUUGCCCGGCCUCUCCCAGGAUACUUUAUCACUGUAAGCAAUAAACACCUGAGACAUCUCAG
rnacentral:lncRNA from 7 species